AUGCCAGGACUCUUAAGUGUUGUCUUUGCUAUGGCUAACAGUUGUGAAUCUUUAUCAAGCACAUCUGAUGGUGAAUUAGAUGGCCUUAAAUUUGAGAAUAUGGAACCUAAUUCAGUUGAGGAUGAGAAUGUAGAUACUCAAACAAGUAAGAAACCUGAUACAUAUGCAGGCUUCUUGGAGGAUGCAAACACAGAGUUAUACCUUGGAUGUAACGCAUUUUCUAAGUUGUCAUUUCUCAUCACCUUGUAUCACAUUAAAUGCUUACAUGGAUGGUCACAAGAAUCAUUUAAAAUGCUACUUGGUGUUUUGUCUGAUGCACUUCCAGAGGCACAAAUACCAAAGAAGUACUAUGAGGUACAAAAAAUCAUUCGUGGCUUAGGGCUUGACUAUGAGAAAAUCCAUGCAUGCCCCAAUGACUGUAUGCUUUUCCGAGGUGAACGAGCUGAUCAAGACUCUUGCCAUGUGUGUUCAAAAGAAGAAACUAGCCAAGGUGUUGCAUUACUUUCCUUUGAUACCGAGGAUUCAAAGGCUCUUUGCAACAACAAAAACAUCUGA
rnacentral:rRNA from 1 species